CUUAGGUCCUUGAGUAACUCCGGUGAGCAAAGCCCUCUGACAACUGACAUUUGUCAUGUACUUUGGCACUCCAAGGUUGACAAGAUAAGAUUUAUUUUCAUACUCAAUUCCCACAAGAAUGAGGAAACUGAAGUUCACAAGGACUAAAUGAACUUUUCAAGAAAAACACCUCCUAAGUGACUUUUUAACCUAAGCAAUGGCUACAUGAUUUACUAGUGUGUAGACAAUAUAUGAGAAAAAUUUUGACUGAAGAACAACAAAGACCUAUGAAAGAAAUAUAUGACAAGAAACGAAUUGUUGUCCAAGGAAUGAAUAGCUGGCCAAGAGCAGCAAGGACCUGAGGCCCGUGGCAGCAACAUGAAUGAGCUAGGAAGAGAAUCCUCUCCAAGUUGAGCCUUGAGAGGAUAGUCUCCCUAGCUGACCCCUUACUGAAGCCUCGUGAGAAAGUCUGAGCCAGCUGUACCCAGACUCCUCCUCCAUGUAUCCUGGGGGAAAAUAAAUAUUGGUUUGUGCUAAGCUGCUAUAUUUUG
rnacentral:lncRNA from 13 species